AAGCCGGAAAAGCAAGGCGGAAGCGGCGGAAAAAGCAAGAGACGCCCUUGGAGGCCUUGGAGACGCCGGUCGCGUUUUGACUCUUGUUUUGACCAGGGCCUUGGUUUUGACUUGGUUUUGACCAUUCUGCGGGUCACUGCGGAUACUAUGGCUGCCUCACAAAAAUUUUGCCUGAAGUGGAACAACUUCCAGAACAGUGUAACCUCAGUGUUUGACAGCCUGCGGCAAGAUGAAGAACUGGUGGACAUAACGUUGUGCUGUGAGGGGAGAAAGAUAAAGGCACACAGGAUGAUGCUGUCAGCAUGCAGUCCUUAUUUCAGGGAUCUCUUCAAGGACAAUCCAUGCCAACACCCCCUGUUCUUCUUGAAGGACACUUCAUAUGUAGACAUUGCAGCUGUGAUAGAGUUUGUGUACAAAGGAGAAGUCAAUGUGCUUCAAAGUCAGUUGGCAAGUUUCCUGAAGACAGCAGAGCUGCUCCAGGUCAAAGGACUCUCAGGGGAUGAAGAGGAAGACCAGGCACCCAGGUCUCAGCCGCCGGACCGGUCCCGCUUACCGUCCGGCCCGCCGCCGCCGCCGCCGCCGGUGCGCCAGCGUCCCCGCGAGUCGGCCGAGCCGCCCGCCUCGCCGCGGCUCAAGCGGCGCCGGCUCUCGGGCUCCUCGGGCAGCCGGCCGGGCUCUCCGUCAGCGGUGAGCGCCGCCCCGCCGCCGCCAGCAGCCGCCGCGGGGCCGCGCGACCCGGCCGCGGACGUGAUGGCCGGACCGCCGGGCGCCGCCCUACCGCCGCCGCCACCGCCGCCCGUGUCGGGCGCGGAUUUGGCGGAGCCGCCCCCGCCGCAGCACGAGCCUCCGCCGCCGCCCCAGCCGGCUGCCGGCCGACAGGACUAUGGCAUCAAAGUGGAGAAAAUAGACAUUGCGGACGAUGACGAUGACGUUAGUUUAGAGGCCACGCUGGGUCAGGUGUCGACGUUUGAGGCGUCCCAGUUCGAUGGGUCAGACCACUCGGCGAGCUCCCACGAUAUGAGCGGGCUUCUCUCCGGACUUUCCGACAGAGUCGGCGACGUGUUAGCUCCGUCGGCGUCGGCAGAGGACGGCUCAGCACAAGGCGGCGCUGCGCUCGGAGGCUGGAUGACGCGCGGGUCGGCAGCGCGCGGUUUUCCGUGCGCCCUGUGCGGCAAGACGUAUGCGCUGCGCACCUCACUGACGCACCACAUGGGCCUGCACCGUGGCGAGACGCGCUGUCCCGUCUGCCAGAAAGUGUUCUCCCGAAAGGGUCACAUGCUCAAUCACCUGCGCGCAGCGCAUCAAAUCACGUGAGACCUGCAGCGGGCCUAGCGCGGAAGCACGUAACCCGCCGGUGGGACCGGUGCUCUUGGAUAGUGACCGUCAGGUGAUGCUCCACUUACGGCCAGAGAUAUGGCGUCGAAUGUCGACGACGGACGUAACCGUGGACGAGCCGAUAUUGUUUUGGCCAGUCUACCAGUGUGUUGUGAAUUGUGAUUCUGAACGUAUUACCUAAUCUUGUAUGAGUUAAGCGCGCGACACAGUCAGAAGAAUAAGUUGUUAUGCCUGUAAACUAAGUCGAGAGAAAUAUACAUUGUCGUGAUCAA
rnacentral:misc_RNA from 1 species